rnacentral:rRNA from 1 species
GACGAACGCUGGCGGCGUGCCUAAUACAUGCAAGUCGAGCGAAGUUUUUCUGGUGCUUGCACUAGAAAAACUUAGCGGCGAACGGGUGAGUAACACGUAAAGAACCUGCCUCAUAGACUGGGACAACUAUUGGAAACGAUAGCUAAUACCGGAUAACAGCAUUAACUGCAUGGUUGAUGUUUGAAAGUUGGUUAUGCUAACACUAUGAGAUGGCUUUGCGGUGCAUUAGCUAGUUGGUGGGGUAAAGGCCCACCAAGGCGACGAUGCAUAGCCGACCUGAGAGGGUGAUCGGCCACACUGGGACUGAGACACGGCCCAGACUCCUACGGGAGGCAGCAGUAGGGAGUCUUCCGCAAUGGGCGAAAGCCUGACGGAGCAACGCCGCGUGAGUGAAGAAGGAUUUCGGUUCGUAAAGCUCUGUUGUUAGGGAAGAAAGGAUAUGUAGUAACUAUACAUAUAAG